CCCUUAGAUGUUCUGGGCCGCACGCGUGCUACACUGAGUGGAUCAGCGGGUCAGGUUGCGCGAAAGUGUUUCCUAAUCUUGAAAUCCGCUCGUGAUGGGGAUUGACGGUUGCAAUUUUCCGUCAUGAACGAGGAAUACCUUGUAAGCGCGGGUCAUCAUCCCGCGCUGAAUACGUCCCUGCCCUUUGUACACACCGCCCGUCGCUCCUACCGAUUGAACGUUUUAGUGAGGCAUUUGGACCGACGCAUCUCAGUUUAACCGCUGGUUUGUGUUGGAAAGACUUCCAAACUUGAGCGUUUAGAGGAAGUAAAAGUCGUAACA
rnacentral:rRNA from 1 species